rnacentral:rRNA from 1 species
GCGGCAUGUUUUACACAUGCAAGUCGAACGGUAACAGCACUUCGGUGGCUGACGAGUGCGAACGGGUGAGUAAUACAUCGGAACGUGCUAGUAGUGGGGGAUAACUACUCGAAAGAGUAGCUAAUACCGCAUGAGAUCUACGGAUGAAAGCAGGGGACCUUCGGGCCUUGUGCUACUAGAGCGGCUGAUGGCAGAUUAGGUAGUUGGUGGGGUAAAGGCUCACCAAGCCAACGAUCUGUAGUGGUCUGAGAGGACGACCAGCCACACUGGAACUGAGACACGGUCCAGACUCCUACGGGAGGCAGCAGUGGGGAAUUUUGGACAAUGGGCGCAAGCCUGAUCCAGCAAUGCCGCGUGCAGGAUGAAGGCCUUCGGGUUGUAAACUGCUUUUGUACAGAACGAAAAGUCUUGGGUUAAUACCCUGGGAUCAUGACGGUACUGUAAGAAUAAGCACCGGCUA